rnacentral:rRNA from 1 species
GUGGGGAAUUUUGGACAAUGGGCGAAAGCCUGAUCCAGCCAUGCCGCGUGCAGGAUGAAGGCCUUCGGGUUGUAAACUGCUUUUGUACGGAACGAAAAGACUCCUUCUAAUAAAGGGGGUCCAUGACGGUACCGUAAGAAUAAGCACCGGCUAACUACGUGCCAGCAGCCGCGGUAAUACGUAGGGUGCAAGCGUUAAUCGGAAUUACUGGGCGUAAAGCGUGCGCAGGCGGUUAUAUAAGACAGAUGUGAAAUCCCCGGGCUCAACCUGGGAACUGCAUUUGGGACUGUAUAGCUAGAGUACGGUAGAGGGGGAUGGAAUUCCGCGUGUAGCAGUGAAAUGCGUAGAUAUGCGGAGGAACACCGAUGGCGAAGGCAAUCCCCUGGACCUGUACUGACGCUCAUGCACGAAAGCGUGGGGAGCAAACAGGAUUAGAAACCCGGGUAGUCC